ensembl:lncRNA
CAACAGGGAGCGGCGUGGGAAGGAGGGAGCGAAGCGCCGUGCCGGUGUCACCUCUGCGGCACAGCCCUGGGGGGGUCCCGGCUGCCACUCUUGGAGCUCUGCAGUGAAGUCCCUGCGUGCACGGAGAGCCCCCCGUGUGCUGUCCGGUGCAUUGAGUCCGAGGUGGCUCAGCGCGAUGCAACCCCAUCGCCGUGCCCAAAGGCUCUCCCUCCAACGCACCUCCUAUCGACGUCGCCCCGAUUUCCAGCAUCGCUGCGUUGAAAAAUGGCAGGGGAGGGUUUGGCAGCGCGGCCGCGCGUGGAUUAUUCAACAAUUGUUUCCCAUUUUGCGCCCUCGCCUGCCUCAUCCUCCAGUAACAAUGACGAAGAGCGGCGCGGAGCCAGCGCCCGCGGCAGGGGUGUUGAGAUCAGGGACAGCACAAAAAUAUCUUCUCUCUGGAACAAAUAUUUACCAACCCUUCUGCCUUUUGUUCUUGUGGUUCUCAUAUUUUUUUUCCAGACAUUCACUGGCAAAAUGUCACAUUAAACAGCAACCCAGAAACUUCGGGGUAGCUGCUUGGCUGCUCUGGGCUUUGUUUUUCUCGCGCGUUAAUUGUUAAUGAAUUUCCAGCCAUUCAAGCCAACACAAACCUGUGAGAAAAAG